rnacentral:rRNA from 1 species
UACGUAGGGGGCAAGCGUUGUCCGGAAUCAUUGGGCGUAAAGAGCGCGUAGGCGGCCCUGUAAGUCCGCUGUGAAAGUCAAGGGCUCAACCCUUGAAUGCCGGUGGAUACUGCAGGGCUAGAGUCCGGAAGAGGCGAGUGGAAUUCCUGGUGUAGCGGUGAAAUGCGCGGAUAUCAGGAGGAACACCGAUGGCGAAGGCGGUUCUCUGGGCCUGUACUGACGCUGAGGAACGAAAGCGUGGGGAGCGAACAGG